rnacentral:rRNA from 1 species
UUGGAGGGCAAGUCUGGUGCCAGCAGCCGCGGUAAUUCCAGCUCCAAUAGCGUAUAUUAAAGUUGUUGCAGUUAAAAAGCUCGUAGUUGAAUUUCGGGAUCAAUUUGCUGGUCGUGCCUCUGGUACGUACUGGUAUUAUUGGUUUCUCCCUUCUGACGAACCAUGAUGUCAUUAAUUUGAUGUCGUGGAGAAUCAGGACUGUUACCUUGAAAAAAUUAGAGUGUUUAAAGCAGGCAUUAGCUUGAAUACAUUAGCAUGGGAUAAUGAAAUAGGACGUUUGAUCCUAUUUUGUUGGUUUCUAGGAUUGACGUAAUGAUUAAUAGGGAUAGUUGGGGGCAUUAGUAUUCAAUUGUCAGGGGUGAAAUUCUUGGAUUUAUUGAAGACUAACUACUGCGAAAGCAUUUGCCAAGGAUGUUUUCAUUAAUCAAGAACGAAAGUUAGGGGAUCGAAGACGAUCAGAUACCGUCGUAGUCUUAACCAUAAACUAUGCCGACUAGGGAUCGGAUGAUGUUAAUUUUUUAAUGACUCAUUCGGCGCCUUACGGGAAAC